rnacentral:rRNA from 1 species
UACGUAGGCAGCAAGCGUUGUUCGGAAUUACUGGGCGUAAAGAGUGUGUAGGCGGUGUUCUAAGUUUGUCGUGAAAUCUCCCGGCUUAACUGGGAGGGUGCGGCGAAAACUGGAAUGCUAGAGGAUGGGAGAGGUAGGCGGAAUUCCUGGUGUAGCGGUGAAAUGCGUAGAUAUCAGGAGGAACACCUGUGGUGUAGACAGCUUACUGGACCAUUUCUGACGCUGAGACACGAAAGCGUGGGUAGCAAACAGG